rnacentral:rRNA from 1 species
GCUUUACUGUAUCCUGGAAUUGAAUUUGGGUUUAUUUUGCGCAGUAUAGGUGGGAGGCUAAGACUGUUUAUUUGCGGAUAUUCAUGAGCCAUCAGUGAGAUACCACUCUAAUUAAACUAGAAUUCUAACUUUGAUAGUCGUUAACCGGCCAAAGAACAGUUUCAGGUGGGCAGUUUGACUGGGGCGGUCGCCUCCUAAAAGGUAACGGAGGCGUGCAAAGGUUUCUUCAGGCUGGUUGGAAAUCAGUCGUAGAGUGUAAAGGCAUAAAGAAGCUUGACUGCAAGACCUACAAGUCGAGCAGAGACGAAAGUCGGCCUUAGUGAUCCGACAGUACUGAGUGGAAAGGCUGUCGCUCAACGGAUAAAAGUUA